GUCUCUCAAAGUGCUGGGAUUACAGGCAUUAGCCACCACACCUAGCCUUCUAACAGGCUUUUCAACCAUAUAUUGUGAUUUUACCUGUGUAGGAGAUAGAUGGUAGCGUCUGUCUUUUACAGUUGACAACCCAGAGGCUCUAAGACAGGUGUCCCCAACCCUAGUCUGUGGCUCAUUAGGAACAGGUUGCCCAGCAGGAGGUGAGUGAGUGGUGGGCGAGUGAGCAAAGCUUCAUCUGUGUUUUUACAACCAUCACUCGCAUUACUGCCCGAGCUGUGCCUCCUGUCAGAUCAGCGCAGCAUUAGAUUCUCAUAGGAGUGGGAACUCUAUUGUGAACUGAGCAAGUGAGGGAUCUAGGUUGCAUGCUUCUUAUGAGAAUCUAAUGCCUGAUGAUCUGUCACUGUCUCCUAUCUCAUCUAAUUGCAGGAAAACAAGCUCAGGGCUCCCACUGAUUGUACAUUAUGGUGAGACGUGGUCUUGUAACACAGUGGUUAAGAAUGUGACUUUGGAGCCAGCCUGCUAGGGGCUGAAUUCUGACUCAGCCAUUUACUAACUGUGUGACCUUAGGUAAGUCAUUUACCUUCUUUGUCCCUCAGUUUCAUCUCGGUUAAGUAGGGAUAAUGAUAGCACCUAUUUUAUAGGGUUAUUGUGAGGAAUAAAUCCAAGUAAAAUGCUUAGAAUAGUAACUGAAACAUAGCACUCAUUAGGAAUGCUUUAAUUUUCAUUUAUUUGAGUAUUAAAGGUUGAAUUUUCAGAGGUAUUUUGGACCUUUGUAUUUUUUCUUUAAAUCACUUAUUCAUGACUUUUGAACUUUUUUUUUUCUUUUAGAGACAGGGUCUUGGUUUGUUGUCUAGGCUGGAAUGCAGUGGUGCAAUCAUAGCUCACUGUAGCCUUGAACUCUUGGGCUCAAGAGAUCCUCCUGCCUCAGCCUCGUGAGUAGCUGGGCCUACAGGCGCCUG
ensembl:lncRNA PCBP1-AS1 PCBP1 antisense RNA 1